CUGUCUACCACACAUGCCCAAAAUAAAAACCAGGACACCAUCAAUCAAUGAAUUUUUGCGGGCCGCUAUCACGGAACAACCUCCUGUGAUUACCUCUACCUCCACCGGAUCGUACUGAUCGUCUGCACCUGCCGUGGUUACCUCUCUCCAAGCUUUUCUCGCGCACCUCAAACGCCCGAAUCUCCUUACCCUGCGCGCCGCGGCCGCCCGCCGCGGCCGCCUCCGCCGUUCUCCUCUCCUCCGCUGCCAUGGAGACCGGAACAGCCGCCUCCAUGGUCCUCGUCUCGAUGGUCUUCGCCAUUGAAGACAACCACCCGCUGCGGAAACUCCGGCCAAUACCAGUACCGCGGGCCGCCAAUUGAUGGAUUUUAGGUAAACCUGUGAUUUCUGUGAGUAGGCUCGGUAAUGAUUGAAGGUUUCUUUGACAACAGCGGCAGUACCUGCCUGUUUUUUUUCUGCUUCUGGGAUGUCGUGUAGAUAGAGAAUAGCAAGGUUGAACCAUGUCUGCAUUGGAGAUAUCGCCACGAUUUUGUUAUCACAAACCAGUGCGUAAUCUAAAUUUCCAGUUUAUUUUUUCUCUAAGCCUCUUACUAAUAAUACAUUUUCUAUGAUGUUUUUUAACAGGGGAACAGGUGUAUAUAAAAUGAAUGUAUGCAGAGAAAAUAUUGUAUAUGGCGUGUGAUGCUUCAUGUGAACGGUGAUCAAACCGUACCACAAUAGCACAUAAAUUGUUCUAUUCUUGCACACCAGAUCAAGGGUAUUCAAUUUUUAUGAAGAACUUGCCUUUCAAUGCCAACUGUUAAAAUGGUUGUGUGUGAGUUCAGACCGUUUAGUGAUAUCAAGCCUUGUGGUAUACAACUUAUACAAAUAGGAAGUGAAAGUGAUAAGGCAACGGAUAAUGGAUGGUUGUUUGUCCGGAACGAUCAGAAUCUACUGCGAAGCUAUCUCUCAGCUUGUGAAGUCAUUUGCUACGGCGACACCAAAUAGUUAUGUUCAGUGUUGUCAAGUCGUGGGUGGAAGGUUAGGUCGGAUGUUUGACUAGGUUAACGGUUCGGCAUUUGUGCAUCUCCACCAAGGUAGUCCACCCUCUCGCCUAAAUCUGAAACAAGAUCUUUGUGCGAAUAUCUCCGUCAGCCUCAAAUAGGUGAUAUUCACAAUUCUCAAAACAGAGUCUAUACCUAGAUUGUCCAUGUUGAUUGUAUUAUUAGUUUUUCUCCCACGUUGUCUCAAGGCCCGCGUUGUCUCAAGAAUUGGAAUGUGUAUAUGUACAUAAGAGCGAUGACUUUUUAUCUGAUAAAUACUGACUACCCAUUAUUCCUUUCAUCA